AACGAACGCUGGCGGCAUGCCUAACACAUGCAAGUCGAACGAGACCUUCGGGUCUAUUGGCGCACGGGUGCGUAACGCGUGGGAACCUGCACUUAGGUUCGGUAUAACUCCCCGAAAGGGGUCUUAAUACCGGAUAAUGUCUUAGGACAAAAGAUUUAUCGCCUUUGGAUGGGCCCGCGUUGGAUUCGCUAGUUGGUAGGGUAAAAGCCUACCAAGGCGACGAUCCAUAGCUGGUCGGAGAGGAUGCUCAGCCACACUGGGACUGCGACACGGCCCAGACUCCUACGGGGGGCAGCAGUGGGGAAUAUUGGACAAUGGGCGAAAGCCUGAUCCAGCAAUGCCGCGUGAGUGAUGAAGGCCUUAGGGUUGUAAAGCUCUUUUACCCGGGAUGAUAAUGACAGUACCGGGAGAAUAAGCUCCGGUUAACUCCGUG
rnacentral:rRNA from 1 species